AGAGUUUGAUCAUGGCUCAGGAUGAACGCUAGCGGCAGGCCUAAUACAUGCAAGUCGAGGGGCAGCACAGGUAGCAAUACUGGGUGGCGACCGGCAAACGGGUGCGGAACACGUACGCAACCUUCCUUGAAGCGGGGGAUAGCCCGAAGAAAUUCGGAUUAAUACCCCGUAGUAUGGUGAGAAGGCAUCUUCUUAUCAUUAAAGCUCCGGCACUUUAAGAUGGGCGUGCGUCUGAUUAGGUAGUUGGUGAGGUAACGGCUCACCAAGCCGACGAUCAGUAACUGGCGUGAGAGCGCGACCAGUCACACGGGCACUGAGACACGGGCCCGACUCCUACGGGAGGCAGCAGUAAGGAAUAUUGGUCAAUGGACGCAAGUCUGAACCAGCCAUGCCGCGUGGAGGAUGAAGGUCCUCUGGAUUGUAAACUUCUUUUAUCUGGGAAGAAAUGUGGGUUUUCUAACUCAUUUGACGGUACCAGAUGAAUAAGCACCGGCUAACUCCGUGCCAGCAGCCGCGGUAAUACGGAGGGUGCAAGCGUUAUCCGGAUUCACUGGGUUUAAAGGGUGCGUAGGCGGAUCUGUAAGUCAGUGGUGAAAUCUCCGAGCUUAACUCGGAAACUGCCGUUGAUACUAUAGAUCUUGAAUGUUGUGGAGGUUAGCGGAAUAUGUCAUGUAGCGGUGAAAUGCAUAGAUAUGACAUAGAACACCAAUUGCGAAGGCAGCUGGCUACACAAAUAUUGACGCUGAGGCACGAAAGCGUGGGGAUCAAACAGGAUUAGAUACCCUGGUAGUCCACGCCCUAAACGAUGGAUACUCGACAUUUGCGAUAUACAGUAAGUGUCUGAGCGAAAGCAUUAAGUAUCCCACCUGGGAAGUACGACCGCAAGGUUGAAACUCAAAGGAAUUGACGGGGUCCGCACAAGCGGUGGAGCAUGUGGUUUAAUUCGAUGAUACGCGAGGAACCUUACCUGGGCUAGAAUGC
rnacentral:rRNA from 1 species